rnacentral:lncRNA from 1 species
AUCUAUCAUCAUGAUGCAUGAGGAACCCGCAUAGGUGGAAAUGGAAUGCCUUCACAUUAUCUUGCAUAGCAGAAAUGCCAAUUCCAAAACAACAUGACAGUAUGCUUAUAUCUCCCCUUCAUCAUUAUUUACAUUACUGAAAUAAUAAACCUCUAAAUCUGCCAUACCUAAUCAGUCGCAUUUGUUUGUAAUUUUUUACAAUAUCAAAAAUUGCAAUGAAGUUGCCAUUGUGACUACAACGACAAUUUAAAAUCAUGAUUACAUGACUGACCAUAGAUUCAACUCAACACACAUAACAGUUAUUGUUUACAAAUAAUAGAUUAUAACUUUAUUUGCAGAUCUACGCGCCAUCAAUCAUAGACUCAUCAAUACAAUGAUCAAAUGCAACCAACACCCUGAGCCGCUGGUGGACAUAUGUUGAAGUGAGUCUGUGCUAAUGCACUCUCUCACUUUGAGAAAAC